AUUGAACGCUGGCGGCAGGCCUAACACAUGCAAGUCGAGCGGAUGAAGGGAGCUUGCUCCUGGAUUCAGCGGCGGACGGGUGAGUAAUGCCUAGGAAUCUGCCUGGUAGUGGGGGAUAACGUCCGGAAACGGGCGCUAAUACCGCAUACGUCCUGAGGGAGAAAGUGGGGGAUCUUCGGACCUCACGCUAUCAGAUGAGCCUAGGUCGGAUUAGCUAGUUGGUGGGGUAAAGGCCUACCAAGGCGACGAUCCGUAACUGGUCUGAGAGGAUGAUCAGUCACACUGGAACUGAGACACGGUCCAGACUCCUACGGGAGGCAGCAGUGGGGAAUAUUGGACAAUGGGCGAAAGCGUGAUCCAGCCAUGCCGCGUGUGUGAAGAAGGUCUUCGGAUUGUAAAGCACUUUAAGUUGGGAGGAAGGGCAGUAAGUUAAUACCUUGCUGUUUUGACGGUACCAACAGAAUAAGCACCGGCUAACUUCGUG
rnacentral:rRNA from 1 species